rnacentral:lncRNA from 1 species
AAGGAUUCACACUGACUAGAUUAGAGUAAACAAUCUUGGCUCCAGUUGGUACAGUAUUGGAGCUCAGCUGUCAGUUGUCUCCACCACAAAAUGUACAGCACAUGGAGAUUCCCUGGUUCAGGUCCCACUAUACACAGCCUAUUUAUCUAUAUAAGGAUGGCAAAGACAUUUUUGGAGAAAUUAUUCCCAAAUAUGUUGAGAGAAUAGAAUGAUUGAAGGAUGUCAUUGGAGAAGGGAGAGUGACCCUCAGGAUCUUUAGUGUCAGUUUUGAUGGUGAAGGGCAAUAUCACUGCAUCUUCAAAAGUGGCAAAUUCUCUGAAGAGCACAUCACAGAAGUCAAAGUUACAAAAUACUUGUUCAUCCUCCUACUACCAAAGGUGUAAUAGUAAAGUGUCAUUCAGGAGGUUGGUUCCCACAGCCCCAUUUGGAAUGGAGAGACAACAGAGGAGGGUUCAUUCCAGCUGCAUCAAAAUUCCAUUCACAGGACAGAGACACACUCUUCAAUAUGAAGAUAACCUUUCUCCUUAGAGACAACUCCUUCAGGAAUGUCACUUGUUGCCUUUAAAAAACUCUAACAGGCCAAAAGGAAAGCACAAGAACUAUUCUUGAG